rnacentral:rRNA from 1 species
GACGAACGCUGGCGGCGUGCUUAACACAUGCAAGUCGAACGGAAAGGCCCUGCUUUUGUGGGGUGCUCGAGUGGCGAACGGGUGAGUAACACGUGAGUAACCUGCCCUUGACUUUGGGAUAACUUCAGGAAACUGGGGCUAAUACCGGAUAGGAGCUCCUGCUGCAUGGUGGGGGUUGGAAAGUUUCGGCGGUUGGGGAUGGACUCGCGGCUUAUCAGCUUGUUGGUGGGGUAGUGGCUUACCAAGGCUUUGACGGGUAGCCGGCCUGAGAGGGUGACCGGCCACAUUGGGCCUGCGAUACGGCCCAGACUCCUCCGGGAGGCAGCAGUGGGGAAUAUUGCACAAUGGGCGGAAGCCUGCUGCAGCAACGCCGCGUGCGGGAUGACGGCCUUCGGGUUGUAACCCGCUUUCGCCUGUGACGAAGCGUGAGUGACGGUAAUGGGUAAAGAAGCACCGGCUAACUACGUG